ACUCAGUGAAAUUGAACUCGCUGUGAAGAUGCAGUGUACCCGCGGCAAGACGGAAAGACCCCGUGAACCUUUACUAUAGCUUGACACUGAACAUUGAGCCUUGAUGUGUAGGAUAGGUGGGAGGCUUUGAAGUGUGGACGCCAGUCUGCAUGGAGCCGACCUUGAAAUACCACCCUUUAAUGUUUGAUGUUCUAACGUGGACCCGUGAUCCGGGUUGCGGACAGUGUCUGGUGGGUAGUUUGACUGGGGCGGUCUCCUCCUAAAUAGGAACGGAGGAGCACGAAGGUUGGCUAAUCCUGGUCGGACAUCAGGAGGUUAGUGCAAUGGCAUAAGC
rnacentral:rRNA from 1 species